CGCACAUGAGUGAGAUCUACCAAGUGAAAUAUAUAUAAUUAUUGUUCGAUGUGCUUUAUCUUAGAAAAUAAAUGUCAUUAAACGCAAAUGUCAUUAUUAAACAUUAUUUAAUUAAAUGUUUAAAAAGCAAGAUUGCCAAAGAUGACAACAUGCUGGCAUCUACGAUACAAAUAUUGAUCCAUGUCAAGUAGAAAAUAUGAUAUUGUAUUUUUAUUAGCAAGCAAUUAUGUGAAUAAGACUUGAAUUAGCCCGCAGAAGGACAGAGCGCAAUGAAAGCAUAUAUAACGACUCUACUUGUUUGUGGAAUAAAGAUACCUACGGAUUAUUGCAGGACAAAGCUUUAAUACCCACACAGCAUAAAUCUUCAAAAAACGUUCUAAAGACGUUCUAAGGACAUUCAUACAUCCUAAGAACGUCUUAGAACAUUCUCUGAAGAUUUUGUGCUAUCUGGGAUAGAAGAAGAGCAAUACUUAUGAUAAAACAUUCAAAAACACUGUAAGUAAUGCAGUUUAGAAUGUCAUAAGAAUAGGAACAAUUAAAGGUUUCUGC